CCUACGGGCGGCAGCAGUGGGGAAUAUUGGACAAUGGGGGGAACCCUGAUCCAGCCAUGCCGCGUGUGUGAAGAAGGCCCUCGGGUUGUAAAGCACUUUCAGUGAGGAAGAACGCCUGGUGGUUAAUACCCAUCAGGAAAGACAUCACUCACAGAAGAAGCACCGGCUAACUCCGUGCCAGCAGCCGCGGUAAUACGGAGGGUGCGAGCGUUAAUCGGAAUUACUGGGCGUAAAGCGCGCGUAGGUGGCUUGAUAAGCCGGUUGUGAAAGCCCCGGGCUCAACCUGGGAACGGCAUCCGGAACUGUCAAGCUAGAGUCCAGGAGAGGAAGGUAGAAUUCCCGGUGUAGCGGUGAAAUGCGUAGAGAUCGGGAGGAAUACCAGUGGCGAAGGCGGCCUUCUGGACUGACACUGACACUGAGGUGCGAAAGCGUGGGUAGCAAACAGGAUUAGAUACCCGGGUAGUC
rnacentral:rRNA from 1 species